rnacentral:rRNA from 1 species
CCCUUAGAUGUCCGGGGCCGCACGCGCGCUACACUGAAGGAAUCAGCGUGGCUUUCUCCCUGACCCGAAAGGGUUGGGAAACCCGUUGAAUCUCCUUCGUGAUAGGGAUUGGGGCUUGAAAUUGUUCCCCAUGAACGAGGAAUUCCAGUAAGCGCGAGUCAUAAGCUCGCGUUGAUUACGUCCCUGCCCUUUGUACACACCGCCCGUCGCUACUACCGAUUGAACGGUUUAGUGAGGGCCUCGGAUUGGUCUCGGCCCGCUCUUUACCGGGCGGCGCCGUUGGUCGAGAAGACGCUCGAACUUGAUCGUUUAGAGGAAGUAAAAGUCGUAACA